rnacentral:lncRNA from 1 species
AAAACUCGUCCGUUUUCACGCAUUCCCACCACUAAACCUGUACGAACAUGGUCGCCGUCACCGUUGUUGCCGGCGUCGUCGUCGACAAUUGAGUGUGCCACAGUUGUAUACAUUGUCUACUGUAGUGUUUCUCCGUAUUUUACGAUUUGGCGAAUACACUACGUUUUUUUUUUUUUUUGUUUUUGCGUGUUUUAGUACACAAUUGUUUUUCGUAUUCAUUUAGACUACUAUUAUAAAUACAGUAUGGACCUUGACAAUAUUUCUCCUUGCAAGUAAAAUCCUUGUGGAAAAGUAAGUUUUUGUAUGACUAUUUUUCUAUUGCGAAUUUUAGAUUCAUAGCGUAAUUUUUAAAUAUAUAUUUUUUUCUUUAAUUUGUUGGUACUGGUCAAAAGCAAAUUAUCAUCAAUUUGUAUAAAAAUAAAUCAAAAGAACUUAAAUUAUUAAUUAAAACCACAAUACGACCAAUACGUUAUAGACAAGUAUGUGAACGACUAUAACAAAAUCGUUUUGCAUUUGCCACCGUAUCACUGCGAACUAAAUCUCAUCGAGCUCGCGUGGUCGUCUGUAAAAAGCCAUGUACAACGCACAACGAUACAUUCAAAUUGAACGAUCGAUAUAUUGAAAUUAUUAAAAAGAAGCGUGGAACAUGUAACGCCGAAAAUGUAGACGAAUUUUGUUGAACACGUCAUAAAGGACGAAGAACAAUUGUGGAAUAUUGACUUUUUAACUGAUGAAAUUAUUGAUGAAGAACCUAAAUUACGUCAUAUCUUCAUGACAGGAACAGGUGAUUCAGACACGGAUUGAUUCGGUUGUAUUGUUUAAUUUUUUCUUUUUAUAAAAUAUAUAUAUAUGUACGAUUACACAUUUGUGUUGAAAUUAAAAAAAUAAAUGCAUGUAUAAAAUAUUUAUAUUCCAUACGUAUUAUUUUUGCAUUGUUGCAUAGGUACAUAAUGGGUGCGACAGUCGCCAGGUGUUAUAUUUUCAUUGUGUGUUAUUUGAGCCGCUGUAUAUAUUAUUACAAACGCCGGUUACCACCGGUCGCCGCGUAGUGAGUGGGAGAAAUGUAGAGACGAACCGAGGAGCUCGGUCUUUAAGAUGUGCCAACGAGUAGCGCUCUACCAGCUACAGUAACAAUUUUUUUUCUAUUAAUCGAUUUAUUAGUUAUUCUCAGUGGUGUUUUGGAGGGUAUACGACGUAUACCCGCGAACCAUCUUGGUAAUUUAGCGUAUACUUUAUAAAAGUAACACCAAUACGCACGUAUACGCUCGUAUAUCUACUUCAUAAAUAGAAAAAAAACAUUAUCAACAACGAAGAAAAUUAUAAACACGAAGAGUAAAUCUAUAGGGCAUACGUUUAUUUUUAGAAAAUUUGUUAUUGGUAGGUUAAUAUUACUUUAUAAUAACAUUGAUAAUUGGUUAUUAUUUAUAGCUAUCGAUUAUCGUCUAGCUAUAUUAGCUAUCAAAUUAUAUCUACAAGCGGCCUUUGGACGUUUCUAAACACGAAUAUUCUAGAUAGUGUGGCGAGUGCUAUUCCGAGUGCUGACUUCCUGCGGCAUUGCUCGUCUUUCAUUAUUUAUUUUACAUUUUGUUUCUUAUAAUUUUUUUUUUUUUUUUUGUGGCUUGUGAAGUGAAGUGUUAAGUGUAGACAAUAUAGAUUCUACACACACACAAAAAAAAACACUUUAUUUUCUUAUUUUUUCUACAAAUACAAAUAAAUAAAUCCGUUUAGAAAAUGUUGAGGUAAGUAACUAUAAAAACUUAUAAGGUAAUACAUUUUAAAUUGUCUUUAUUUUAUUAAUUUGUUUACUUGUGCGCUAUUUAGGUGGCGUCUAAAGAAGUAGAAGCUCAAUUAUUGUCAUCUAUCGCAUAAAUAAGGGUAUAAGGUAAAUUGUUUUCUUUUUCUAUUAUUUGUUAUUAUAUUUGUUUACUAAAUAUAAAUUUUUUUUCACAUUUAUAUAAAAAUUAUAUUCUUUUUCGAUUGUUAUGCAUUAUUUAUUUUUUAUUAAAAGAUAUAUUUUCUAUUUUUUUUUUUUAAAUAGGUAGGUAUACAUUUUUAUAGAAAAAUGCAUUUUAAAUUUUGUUUUUUACAAUAUAGAUACCUAUUGCUCUAUAACAAAAUGUAAAAACUCCUAGUACUAUACAAUGCUUAGGUAGUUCAUAUAGGUAUAUAUAGUUGCAUAUUUGAGACCUAAUAAAAUUAAAAUUACAUUUUUAGUUAUUUUUCUCAUAUUUAAUGAGCAAAAAGUAAUUUAAAAAUAAUUAUUUGUUUUAAUUUUAAAAAUGCAUGCAGUAAAGAGUUAAAACCAUUCAGUAGAAUUUAAGUUAAUAAGUUAAUAGAAAACACUUCACAUUUCAAUUAUUAUUUAUUUGAGUCAAAGUAGUACCUACUGUACUAACCUAAUUUAUAUAUUAUACUACAUAUACAAAUUAGAAACCAUAAUUUUAAUAUUUUGUUUUUCGUGAUUAUUAAUUGUGGUAAUUUAUUUAAAGUUACAACCAUCGUCAAAUAAUUUGAAUUUAUUUAUUUUUAAUAAAUAUAUUAACUAAUUUUUAAUUAAAAAUUAUAUUGGUGCCAAAUAUCUCUUAUUCAAGAUACUGGAAAUUCUGAAUGGUAUCUGAUCUAAUUAUAUACUUAGAUGGUUUUAUUUGAUGUAGGUAAAUGAAAAUCUGUUUUCUGAGCCAUCUCCAUCUAUUCAAUUAGACAAUGUUGAGUCUUCUGAAGCUAACUGUCAGGAUUCACUUUAGCCGUCUGAGUGGACAUCAGUGCAAUGGACAGAAAAAAAAAGAAAAAUUUAAAGGACUUUACUGUGCUGAUAGAAAAAUUGGAUGUGAUAUAUGCAGAAAAGUGAAUAAAUUAAAAACCCUUCAAAAGAUUGAAAUAUCUCAAGAAUGGUAACAUGUCAAAUUGAUGGAGGAACAAAUACUAACAAGAAAACUGUUACUUACUGUUGUAAGAAAUAAACUUAAAAAACAUUUUGAAUCCAACACACACAAAUCUGCUGUUCAAAUAUUAGACAAUAAAGACAAGAGUAUGUUGUCCAAGCUUAUAGAAGAAAAAGAUUACCAGAUAAACAAAGCUACACAUUCUGUUUUCUGCACUGCUUAUUAUAUAGCAAAUAUAAUUGUCCAUUUGAUGAUCAUUUAAAACUAGUGCAAUUACAGGAACUAAAUGGUAAAAGUUAGGGUUUACCCUCCAUUCUAGUCACUUAUCUACCAAUAUUCUUUAACAUAUUUUUAAAGAAAUGAAACAAAAUUAUUAAAAAUAUUGAAACAAAUGCAAAAUGUUCCAUACUAAUUGAUGAAUCAACUACA